GAUGAACGCUAGCUACAGGCUUAACACAUGCAAGUCGAGGGGCAGCAUGAACAUAGCUUGCUAUGUUCGAUGGCGACCGGCGCACGGGUGCGUAACGCGUAUCCAACCUUCCCGUUACUCAUGGAUAGCCUUCCGAAAGGGAGAUUAAUACAUGAUGGUGUUGAAAUUCCGCAUGUUAUUUCAACUAAAGAUUUAUCGGUAACGGAUGGGGAUGCGUGACAUCAGAUAGUAGGCGGGGUAACGGCCCACCUAGUCUACGAUGUCUAGGGGUUCUGAGAGGAAGGUCCCCCACACUGGAACUGAGACACGGUCCAGACUCCUACGGGAGGCAGCAGUGAGGAAUAUUGGUCAAUGGUCGGAAGACUGAACCAGCCAAGUAGCGUGAAGGAUGAAGGUUCUAUGGAUUGUAAACUUCUUUUAUACGGGAAUAAAACACCUUACGUGUAGGGUCUUGUAUGUACCGUAUGAAUAAGCAUCGGCUAACUCCGUGCCAGCAG
rnacentral:rRNA from 1 species